GCCAAUAAACCUUACUUCUGAGUAAAUAUAUUUGGUCUGCAAGUUCAUAUAAAAUAAGCCAUUAAUAGUUAUGUGGCUAAUCUAGGUGCAAACUCCUCUGUAAUAUCUUCCUACGUAAAUAAAUCCCCUACCAACAUAAUACAGUGACCAGCAGCGGGCAGUUCCCCUGGGAAGCCAAUGAGAAAUGCUGCACAACAUGUGUUUAGCCUCCCCUAAAUGGACACAAGAGGAGAGGCUGCUCACUGGAACAGUGUGGAGAAGAGGGAGGCACAAGAGAGGCUAAUGCUGAAAGCCUCUUUACAUCUGGGAUCAGUCUUGAAUUUUUAUUUAAGCAGAACGGAAGAUAUUUCAUUAUCCAGCUAGGUGACAUCUUCAGGGAAUAACUUCAAAUAUUCUCUUCUGUUGGAUGUUGAAGAUUCCGCAUCAGCCUGUGAAAGGAAACAGAUGCUCACGAAAGAAACGCCACAGAGAUCUGACCUGGGGUGACAGCGUGUGGGCCAGCAGAGAGGGCUCUGCGUGCCACCUCUGGUCCGCCUGCCAUUGGUUUGCCAACACGAUUAUACGGCAUCUGGAGGUUUGUUUUGUGAUCCAGGAAUAUUAAGAGAUAAUCAAAAUACGAAAUUGUGCCCACCUGAUUUGUCAAGCUAAAACUAUUCAGUGUUAUGCUCAUGAGCUCUGCAAUAAGCCAAGCUCCCUCAGUUUCUUUCCUGACUGCUCCAAUUUGCAUGGGUUACUGAAGACUAUUGGGAAGAAACCUAUGAGGCUGAGAAGAAGAGAGGCUGAAAAACCUUUUCCCCUUGCCAUUUCUGCCCAGCCUCAGUUCUGACAGUCAACCAUUUAUUAUCCGCAACACAUUCUUCCUAAUUAUUUGUGACGCCUUGCCUACACAGUUCAUCUCUGUUUGUCAGCAAGAACAUCUCUAAAUUGGUUAAUCAGAGACAGAUCAUUCCACCUUGUUUCUCUCGGCCUCUUUCAAAUGUUAUCUGAACAUUCUGUGUAACUCUAUUAAGGUCAUUUUCCUUACUCUUUACCCAGAUAUCUUUAUUUUUUAAAAAAAUUAUUUAUUUAUUUAUUUAUUGUCAAGCAUGUAUUUGAUAACAGAUACAAGUGUA